GGGGCAAGAUGGCGGCGGCAGUAGGGGUCCGCGGCCGGUGCGAGCUGCCGCCUUGCUCCGGCCCUGGCUGGCUUCUCAGCCUUUCCGCCUUGCUGAGUGUGGCGGUUCGAGGGUCCUUCGCGACCACGCACUGGGUCGUCACGGAGGACGGGAAGAUCCAGCAGCAGGUGGAUUCACCAAUGAACUUGAAGCAUCCGCAUGACUUAGUUAUACUAAUGAGACAAGAAACAACUGUUAACUACCUCAAAGAAUUGGAGAAGCAAUUAGUUGCUCAAAAAAUUCACAUAGAAGAGAAUGAGGACAGAGAUACAGGGCUGGAACAGAGACAUAAUAAAGAAGAUCCAGACUGCAUCAAAGCCAAGGUGCCCCUCGGGGACUUGGACUUGUAUGAUGGCACAUACAUAACUUUGGAGAGCAAAGAUAUCAGCCCUGAAGAUUAUAUAGACACAGAAUCUCCUGUUCCACCAGACCCUGAGCAACCUGAUUGUACAAAAAUUCUAGAACUUCCAUACAGUAUACAUGCUUUUCAGCACUUGCGAGGUGUACAAGAGAGAAUUAAUCUUUCCGCACCUCUAUUACCUAAAGAGGAUCCAAUCUUCACAUAUUUAUCUAAGCGAUUAGGAAGGAGUAUAGAUGAUAUAGGUCACCUCAUUCAUGAAGGUCUACGGAAGAACUCUUCCUCAUGGGUACUGUAUAACAUGGCUUCAUUUUACUGGAGAAUAAAGAAUGAGCCAUAUCAGGUAGUGGAAUGUGCCAUGCGAGCACUUCACUUUUCUUCCAGGCACCAUAAAGACAUUGCCCUUGUCAAUCUGGCAAAUGUUCUACACAGAGCACACUUUUCUGCUGAUGCUGCUGUUGUGGUCCACGCAGCUCUGGAUGAUAGCGAUUUCUUCACCAGCUAUUACACUUUGGGGAAUAUAUAUGCAAUGCUUGGGGAAUAUAAUCACUCAGUGCUUUGUUAUGACCAUGCUUUACAAGCCAAACCUGGGUUUGAGCAAGCUAUAAAGAGGAAGCAUGCUGUCCUAUGUCAACAAAAACUCGAACAAAAAUUGGAGGCUCAACAUAGAUCCCUCCAGCGAACACUGAAUGAGUUGAAAGAGUAUCAAAAGCAGCAUGACCACUACCUGAGACAGCAGGAGAUCCUAGAAAAACAUAAGCUAAUUCAGGAGGAGCAAAUCUUAAGAAACAUCAUCCAUGAGACUCAGAUGGCAAAAGAGGCACAAUUAGGAAAUCAUCAAAUAUGCCGUCUGGUCAAUCAGCAGCAGAGCUUGCAUUGCCAGUGGGACCAGCCUGUGCGCUACCAUCGUGGAGACAUCUUUGAACAUGUGGACUAUGUUCAGUUUGGUGAGGAUUCAUCAACCUCCAGUAUGACAUCUGUGAACUUUGAUGUUCAGGCAAAUCAGAGUGAUGUCAGUGAUUCAGUCAAGCCUUCUCCCAUAGCCCAUUCUAUUCUCUGGAUCUGGGGCAGGAACUCUGAUUCCUACAGGGACAAACAGCAUAUUCUGUGGCCUAAAAGAGCAGAUUGUGUGGAAAGCUACCCUAGAGUUCCUGUUGGUGGGGAAUUACCAACCUAUUUUCUGCCUCCGGAAAACAAAGGACUCAGGAUCCACGAACUCAACAGUGAUGAUUAUUCUUCAGAAGAAGAGGUCCAAACCCCAGACUGUUCCAUAACUGACUUCAGAAAAAGCCAGACUCUGUCCUACUUAGUCAAAGAAUUAGAGGUCCGCAUGGAUCUGAAAGCCAAAAUACCAGAUGACCAUGCACGAAAAAUUUUACUUUCCCGUAUUAAUAACCAUACUAUCCCAGAAGAAGAAAUUGGAUCUUUCUUAUUCCAUGCUAUUAACAAGCCAAAUGCUCCUGUCUGGCUCAUACUCAAUGAAGCUGGACUCUACUGGAGAGCAGUAGGAAAUAGCACUUUCGCUAUUGCUUGUCUUCAGAGGGCUUUGAAUCUAGCUCCACUUCAAUACCAGGACAUUCCUCUUGUCAACUUGGCCAACCUUUUGAUUCACUAUGGCCUUCACCUUGAUGCCACUAAGCUGUUACUUCAAGCUUUGGCGAUCAAUAGCUCUGAGCCCCUGACCUUUUUGAGCCUGGGAAAUGCGUACCUUGCUCUGAAGAAUAUCACUGGAGCUCUUGAGGCUUUUAGACAGGCUUUGAAAUUAACUAGCAAAUGCCCAGAGUGUGAAAACAGCCUGAAAUUGAUCCGCUGUAUGCAGUUUUAUCCUUUUCUAUACAACAUCACCUCAUCUGUUUGCAGUGGUAAUUGUCAUGAGAAAACCCUGGACAACAACCAUGACAAACAGAAAUAUUUUGACAACCCACAGUCACUGGAUGCUGUUGAAGAAGAGCCCCCUGAGAGAGGAGCAGAGGAGGACCCUGCACACUCUGUUGAGAGUUCAGGGAGGGACUCAGAUGCCCUUAGACUUGAAAGUACAGUGGUUGAGGAAAGCAAUGGUUCUGAUGAGAUGGAGAAUUCAGAUGAAACAAAGAUGUCAGAAGACAUACUGGCUUUGGUGGAUGAAUUUCAACAGGCAUGGCCUCUGGAAAGCUUCGGGGGAGCCCUGGAGAUGAAAGGGCGGCGUCUGGACUUGCAGGGAAUACGGGUACUGAAAAAAGGUCCCCAAGAUGGAGUGGCCAGAAGCUCUUGCUAUGGAGACUGUAGAAGUGAAGAUGAUGAAGCAACAGAAUGGAUCACAUUCCAAGUCAAACGUGUAAAGAAACCCAAAGGAGAUCAAAAGAAAACUCCUGGGAAAAAGACAGAAUCAAAUCAAGCAGAAAAUGCACAUCGUUACCAAGCAAACCUUGAAAUCACUGGCCCAAAGGUGGCAUCUCCUGGGCCACAAGGGCUACUAGACUGGAAGACCAGGGAAGUGCCAUAGACAUAAUGUAACUGGAUUUCAGCAAGGCAUUUAACAGAGCCUCUUAUGAUAUCCUUGUGAACAAGAUGGAGAAAUGUGGGCUCGAAGGCUUCCCAUUGCCUACAGGACGAAGUCCAAACUUCCUAGUGUGCUGUACAAGACCCUUUACCACCUGUCCUCUAUCUGCCCUUCAGCACCAUUCUCUGAACCAACCAUGCUCUUAUUUUACCUCCAUGCCUUGGCACCUGCUGUUGCCUCUGCAUGGGUGCUGAAAUAUCACUUGUUCAAGUUCAGGUGCCAUCUCUUCCUUGGUGCCUUCAGGCAAAAUUAGUUGCUCUCUGUGUGCGAUUGUUUUAUAUUUUCACUGUAGCACAUAUCCUAUUGUAUUUUAAUGAUUUUAUCUAUGUUUACCUUCCUCACUAGAAUGUGAGCUCAAGGGCAGGCCCUCUUAUUAUUCCUCUUCAUAUCUCUUGUGUCUUACACAGUUCCUAACCCCUUAUAAUAUAUACUUAAUAAAUAUUUCUCAAAUGAAUUUCUUAAAUAUAAAAGAAAAAUGAGCUUUAUUGUGAAAUUUAUGAUUUGUUUCCUGAAGGUAUUAAUUUAAACAGGGUUAGUUUGAAACUCUUCCAAACUGUUCUUUUCUGUUUUAUUAAAAUCUAAAUCUAAACCCCUGCCUAUAUCUCAAACCAUUUUCUAUUGUUGAUAAAUUCCUACAGUAUAGAGAGUGUUAUUCAGAACUAAAGGUCUCCUUCCCAUCCAUUUCAUUGUAAUUCCUUCAGAAGAGACAGACUUGGUUCUGCUCUUUUUGAGGGAACUUAGUCUAAGUAAAGGGCCUGCACACAGAAGGUAUUACUGUGAAGGAUAUCAAUAAAUAAAGUUUUAAAAGCCCUAUGUGUCUUUAAAUAGCAAGGUGAUUGGGGGCAGGCAUGUUAGAGUCAGACCUGGAUUUGGAUCCCAGCUCUGCCACCUUCUAGCCAGGUGACCUUGGGCAAGUCGUUUAAUCUCUCUGAACCUCUGUUUCCUCAUCUGAGAAGUGAGGAUUAAAACCUACCUCAUGAAGUUGUGGUUGCGAAACGCUUAGCAGAGGAUAUGACACACAAUAAGUGCUCUUAAGGUAAAUGAUAGCCUUUCAUUAUCAUUAUUUCCUAUCCUGCUGCUUUUCUUUACAGCAGUUCUCUACCAACGGUGAUUUUGCUGUCCAGAGGAUAUUUGGCAAUGUCUGGAGACAGUUUUAGUUGUCAUAUCUGGGGGAGUAUACUACUGACAUCUAGUGGGUAGAGGCCAAGGAUGCUAAACAUCCUACAAUACAAUGGACAGCCCCCACGACAAAGAAUUAUCCUGCCCAAAGUAUCAAGUUAUCAAACCCUGCUUUAGAAAGAUGUGUUUCUACGGAGUAAGUUACAGUUGUUAUAAAAUCAUAAUGUGAAGAAGUAAAAGUUAAGUCCUGUAAAAUGCUUAACAUUGAAGGAUAUCUUAACCCUUAUCUCAUGUUCAUCAAUCUUAAAUCCAAAAAAGGAAACAUUUGCUUUUACUUCACCAUUGAUCUUUGCAAACAUAGCUUUACUUAAAGAUGAUCCUUAUUCCUCUUCCAUGAAAGACAAGGUUUUAAUUAGAUCUGUAGAUGGUGGAAAUUCUGAAGACCGGAAGAAUGACUGACACCUCCAAAUACAUCAAUCUGAGUGAAGUAAUAUCCACAGAAUAAGCAACUUUGGGUUCUGUUCUAUUCUUUUGUGAUUGUGUUGAUUCGUGAUGUUCCUUCCUUCCAGGAAAAAAGCGUGAUUACCAGAGUCUGGGCUGGCCCAGUCCAGACGAGUGCCUCAGACUCCGCUGGGUAGAGCUGACUGCCAUCGUGAGUACCUGGCUUGCAGUUUCUUCAAAAAACAUUGACAUCACAGAACACAUAGACUUUGCAACCC